AUUGAACGCUGGCGGCAGGCCUAACACAUGCAAGUCGAGCGAGCGGCGGACGGGUGAGUAAUGUAUGGGGACUGCCCGAUAGAGGGGGAUAACUACUGGAAACGGUGGCUAAUACCGCAUACUAUCGGAUAACCCAUAUUGUCUUAACUAGUAGGUGGGGUAAAGGCUCACCUAGGCGACGAUCCCUAGCUUGUCUGAGAGGAUGAUCAGCCACAAUGGGACUGUGACACGGCCCAGACGCCUACGGAGGCAGCAGUGGGGAAUAUUGCGAAAGGGGGGCAACCCGGACGCAGCAAUGCCGCGUGAAUGAAGAAGGCCUUCGGGUUGUAAAGUUGUUUCGGUAGCGAGGCGGGAACUAAAGAAGAAGCACCGGCUAACUCCGUGCCAGCAGCCGCGGUAAUUG
rnacentral:rRNA from 1 species